AUUGAACGCUGGCGGCAUGCUUUACACAUGCAAGUCGGACGGCAGCACAGAGAAGCUUGCUUCUUGGGUGGCGAGUGGCGAACGGGUGAGUAAUAUAUCGGAACGUACCGAGUAAUGGGGGAUAACUAAUCGAAAGAUUAGCUAAUACCGCAUAUUCUCUGAGGAGGAAAGCAGGGGACCUUCGGGCCUUGCGUUAUUCGAGCGGCCGAUAUCUGAUUAGCUAGUUGGUGGGGUAAAGGCCUACCAAGGCGACGAUCAGUAGCGGGUCUGAGAGGAUGAUCCGCCACACUGGGACUGAGACACGGCCCAGACUCCUACGGGAGGCAGCAGUGGGGAAUUUUGGACAAUGGGCGCAAGCCUGAUCCAGCCAUGCCGCGUGUCUGAAGAAGGCCUUCGGGUUGUAAAGGACUUUUGUCAGGGAAGAAAAGGCUGUUGCUAAUACCGACAGCUGAUGACGGUACCUGAAGAAUAAGCACCGGCUAACUACGUGCCAGCAGCCGCGGUAAUACGUAGGGUGCGAGCGUUAAUCGGAAUUACUGGGCGUAAAGCGAGCGCAGACGGUUACUUAAGCAGGAUGUGAAAUCCCCGGGCUCAACCUGGGAACUGCGUUCUGAACUGGGUGACUAGAGUGUGUCAGAGGGAGGUAGAAUUCCACGUGUAGCAGUGAAAUGCGUAGAGAUGUGGGAGGAAUACCGAUGGCGAAGGCAGCCUCCUGGGAUAACACUGACGUUCAUGCUCGAAAGCGUGGGUAGCAAACAGG
rnacentral:rRNA from 1 species